GAUGAAGAACGUAGCGAAAUGCGAUACUUGGUGUGAAUUGCAGAAUCCCGUGAACCAUCGAGUCUUUGAACGCAAGUUGCGCCCGAAGCCAUCAGGUUGAGGGCACGUCUGCCUGGGCGUCACAUAUCGUUGCUCGAUGCCUAUCGCAUUGCGAUAGGACUUAGGGCGAAUGAUGGCUUCCCGUGAGCGUUGUUGCCUCGCGGUUGGUUGAAAAUCGAGUCCUUGGUAGGGUGUGCCAUGAUGGAUGGUGGUUGAGUGAUGAUGCUCGAGACCGAUCAUGGGUAACUCCACCAGAAUUGGGCUCGGUGACCCACAUACGUCCCUUGGAUGCCCCCUAAGGAGACCUCAGGUCAGGCGGGGCUACCCGCUGAGUUUAAGCAUAUCAAUAAGCGGAGGA
rnacentral:misc_RNA from 1 species